rnacentral:lncRNA from 1 species
AAAAGAUACUAAAUAAUUGGUUUAUUUUCUAUUUUAGGGAGAUAGGAUAUAUGCAACGGUAAGAAAAGCUUUUCUGAACAAAUUUAAAGGCCUCUUUACGGAAGGAAAAGUUUAUGUGAUCAACCAGUUUGGAGUGGGGCAGAGCAGUGGCUCCUCCAGGACCACUAAACAUCCUUAUAAAAUCAACUUUCAAUAUUCUACGGUUGUACGUGAGAUGGAAGAUGUUUUGACAAUAUCAAAGUAUGGAUUUAUAUUUACAUCUUUUGAUGAAAUACUUGCUAAUGUUGCUGAUGACAAAUAUUUAGUAGGUAAGAGUUGUUACAUGCAUCAAAUAUUUGAUUUUUAAAAUUUAAUUUUUAAUAUGUGUACCUACUAUAUUGAUUCGUACAUUUUAUUUUCCUAAUUUAUCAGAUGUCAUUGGGAAGCUUUUUAGAAUUAGUAGAAUCAAAGAAAGCUGCAAAGACGGUAAAGAAACAAAAAAAAUAUAACAUUAGCCGUGCAUCGCACAUUGCAGUUAAGUAUCUAUUGGGCAGUUUUUCUUAGUUUUUAGAUGUUGAUGCUUUAAAAUAGAACAGAUUAUUUUCAUUUUAUUGCUUAAAUACGAAGCAAGUGCUAACUUUUUUUUCUUAGAUGUAUUACUGUUCUCAGGAUAUGGCACUUGGGUUUGAUUCUAUAAGUGACAUCACUCCUCUUGAAGACAAAUAGAAGAUCAAAAUCAGAGUGAUUUGUCUGUAUACUAUGCCUGAAUUAUAUCGUCCAGAGGUGGUGAAUAGCCUAGAGUUAGUUAUUUCUGAUCAAAAUGUAAGAUACGACUGUCAUUUUCAAAUUGAACAUACGUUUUCAUGUAACAUGAAAACCUACUAUUAGGGAUGUCAAUGGGUAUGGAUACCCGAAAUUUUAUCCGAACCGAAUCCGAAUGAAACGGAUAUAUCCGAUGGAUAUGGAUAUGAAUACGGAUAUGGAUAUAAAAAAUAGAAACCCGACGGAUAUGGAUUCGGAUAUAGAUUUUGAGUGUACCUGAUCUGAACCCGAACCCGACCCGAGCCCGGCCGACCCUAACCCGAAUUUAUUUUGUAUUAUAUAUAGUAUAUAUAUAAAAAUUUGAUGUUAUAUUUGAAUUUGUAUUUUAAAAAUUUAGAUUUAAUAUAAUAUAUUUUGAAAUAUUGAAAAAAGAAAUAAUUGUUUCGGGUUCAAAUUUUCGGGUUCGGAUUCGGAUUCGGGUUUCGGAUUUUGGUCGGGUUCGGGUUUGGAUAUGGAUUUUUAAAAUCCACCGGGUUCGGGUCUCGGAUUUGGAGUCGGGUUUGGGUUCGGGUUUUUAAAAAUCCGCCCCGAAUCCGACCCGUUGACAUCUCUACCUACUAUCGCUACUUAGUUUUUCAUUUUUUUUUUUUUUUUGAUUUUUCACUAACAAAAGAUAUGAUCCAAAUAUUUUGUGAAUGAAUUACAUAUAGCAUGAGUCCUGCAUGCAUAUAAACUUAUUGUGUUAUGAUAUUUGGUGAAAAGCAUUAUCUAUAUUGAAGGCAUAUUUAUGUUUUGUGUUACAUGAUGCACGUCAAAUACCUAAUGAUGACUUGAGAGUACUUAUAACUUUUAGGAUCUUACAACUUUUAUUUGCUGAAAUAUUAUUUGCUUUAUUUUUACUAAAAGAUACUAAAUAAUUGGUUUAUUUUCUAUUUUAGGGAGAUAGUAUACAUGCAACGAUAAGAAAAGUUUUUCUGAAUAAAUUUAAAGGCCUUUUUACGGAAGGAAAAGUUUAUGUGAUUAACCAGUUUGGAGUGGGGCAGAGUAGUGGCUCCUACAGAACCACUAAACAUCCUUAUAAAAUCAACUUUCAAUAUUCUACGGUUGUAUGUGAGAUGGAAGAUGUUUUGAUAAUAUCAAAGUAUGGAUUUAUAUUUACCCAUUUUGAUGAAAUACUUGCUAAUGUUGCUAAUGACAAAUAUUUAGUAGGUAAGAGUUGUUACAUGUAUCAAAUAUUUGAUUUUUAAAAUUUAAUUUUUAAUAUGUGUACCUACUAUAUUGAUUCGUAUAUUUUUUUUUUCUAAUUUAUCAGAUGUCAUUGGGAAGCAUUUUGGAAUUAGUAGAGUGGAAGAAAUCUGCAAGGACAGUAAAGAAACAAAAAAAAAAAAAAUAUUACAUUAGCCGUG